UGACCUCGGAUCAGGUAGGGAUACCCGCUGAACUUAAGCAUAUCAAUAAGCGGAGGAAAAGAAACCAACAGGGAUUGCCUCAGUAACGGCGAGUGAAGCGGCAACAGCUCAAAUUUGAAAUCUGGCUCUUUUAGGGUCCGAGUUGUAAUUUGUAGAAGAUGCUUUGGGAAUGGUUCCGGUCUAAGUUCCUUGGAACAGGACGUCAUAGAGGGUGAGAAUCCCGUAUGCGACUGGUCGCCUGCCCCGUGUAAAGCUCUUUCGACGAGUCGAGUUGUUUGGGAAUGCAGCUCAAAAUGGGUGGUAUAUUUCAUCUAAAGCUAAAUAUUGGCCAGAGACCGAUAGCGCACAAGUAGAGUGAUCGAAAGAUGAAAAGCACUUUGGAAAGAGAGUUAAACAGUACGUGAAAUUGUUGAAAGGGAAGCGCUUGCAACCAGACUUGCACGUAGUCAAUCAUCUGGUGUUCUCACCGGUGCACUUGGCUAUGUUCAGGCCAGCAUCGGUUCAGGUGGUGGGAUAAAGGCCUUGGGAAUGUAGCUUCUUUCGGGAAGUGUUAUAGCCCUCGGUGCAAUGCCGCCUACCUGGACCGAGGACCGCGCUUCGGCUAGGAUGCUGGCGUAAUGGUUGUAAGCGACCCGUCUUGAAACACGGACCAAGGAGUCUAACAUCUAUGCGAGUGUUUGGGUGUCAAACCCAUACGCGUAAUGAAAGUGAACGGAGGUGAGAACCCUUAAGGGUGCAUCAUCGACCGAUCCUGAUGUCUUCGGAUGGAUUUGAGUAAGAGCAUAGCUGUUGGGACCCGAAAGAUGGUGAACUAUGCCUGAAUAGGGUGAAGCCAGAGGAAACUCUGGUGGAGGCUCGCAGCGGUUCUGACGUGCAAAUCGAUCGUCAAAUUUGGGUAUAGGGGCGAAAGACUAAUCGAACCAUCAGACUUGCUACUAGGUGGUUGAGAGACGCGCGAAAAGCGUGGAUCUAGCUCUGUGCAGUGAGCAACAUUAUCAAAUUGCGGGGACCUCCUGUCAACAUUCAAUGCUACCGCUGCUCCGUCGAAAGUCGAGCUGGCACCGGGUUAAUGACCCUGGGUAUGGUAAUAACGCAUUGCAUAUACGGAAAAUCCGCAGCAAACUCCCUACGGGUGCGUCCUACGGGGUCUGUCCACAGACUAAAUGAUAAUGGGUACCGUCAAAUACGGUGCUUAAGAUAUAGUCGAUCCCCCGGGAGACCGGGCCUUGGGAUUCCCAAGGGAGACACGAGUGUCUUGGGGAAGCACCUCUUACGAGGCCGCUUCAAAUGCUAGUAGCUGGUUCCUGCCGAAGUUUCCC
rnacentral:rRNA from 1 species